UACGGAGGAUGCGAGCGUUAUCCGGAUUUAUUGGGUUUAAAGGGUGCGUAGGCGGGAUGCCAAGUCAGCGGUAAAAAUGCGGUGCGCAACGCCGUCGAGCCGUUGAAACUGGCGUUCUUGAGUGGGCGAGAAGUAUGCGGAAUGCGUGGUGUAGCGGUGAAAUGCAUAGAUAUCACGCAGAACUCCGAUUGCGAAGGCAGCAUACCGGCGCCCUACUGACGCUGAGGCACGAAAGCGUGGGUAUCGAACAGG
rnacentral:rRNA from 1 species